GACAGAGGGUGCAAACGUUGUCCGGAAUUAUUGGGCGUAAAGAGCUCGUAGGCGGUUUGUCGCGUCUGCUGUGAAAACCCGAGGCUCAACCUCGGGCCUGCAGUGGGUACGGGCAGACUAGAGUGCGGUAGGGGAGAUUGGAAUUCCUGGUGUAGCGGUGGAAUGCGCAGAUAUCAGGAGGAACACCAAUGGCGAAGGCAGAUCUCUGGGCCGUAACUGACGCUGAGGAGCGAAAGCAUGGGGAGCGAACAGG
rnacentral:rRNA from 1 species